CAUCCAUCACCAAUCCAACUCACCAAAACUUCAGACUAAUUCCACCAAUUUGCUAAUAUAGGGCCUUGUGGAAAAUCUCUUUGGAAUGCACUAACAGAAACUUAAAGAAACUAUUUUUAUAUUAAUGAAAACAACACAAUUAAUGUAUGACAUAAUUGACCCCUAUAAGAAGCUCCACAGACUGCCACAGUUAGACUGCUGUGUCUUUUUUAACCACUAGAUGUCACUAAAGUAAAGCUUUGGACCUCUGAAGACUUUGUUUUUUUGUUUUUAUUUUUUUCUUUUACAUCAGUCUGCCCACAUUGUUGUAUUUAGAAAAUACACAUAUAUAAUCUUUGAAAUUUAAAAAUGAUGAUGAUGAAAAUAAUUGAUUUAUUUCUCCGGGUUAAAUAAAAGAUCAAUAAAGACUAUUUAAAGACUCUCUCCAGUGUUAAAAACCACUCUUUAAGACAAUAAAGAUCGAAUAAAACCAGAAAUAAAAGUGUAGAUUAUAAAAUAAGAUAAAGUGAUUCCCUGUAGUAUAAAUAUGUGUUUAUACAAAGGCUGUGAAUGUUAACGCGUUAACGCGCACUAUUAAUAAAACGUAAUUAAUUACUUAAUAUUUAUUAAUGGCAUCCAAGCCUUCCUGCUGUGAGAUCAGGGUAGUAAAACUCUGUCUAAAAUAAACUUAAACUUUGUUUUACAUCCUGUGAUUGAGAUUUUAUUAAGUUAAAGAUAUAAUAUUUAUAGUUUUUGGACAAAACCAAUCUUCUAUUUUAAUAAAUAAGGCGGAGAACUAGCAUCAUUCUGACAGCUCUAAUGCAGCAGCAGCUGUACAUCCGCAAUAAAGGGUGUUUUAUAAUUUCACAAGCGUAAUAAGGAAAGUUAAAAAAGCUAGAAAAAAAAGAAAAACAGAAUUUCAUGAAAAAUGUAAAAUAGAAUGCAGUGCUCUUAGGAGAGAAAUUCUUAUUUUUUAGGCUGCCUGGUGUGACUUUAGCCUGGAUUUCUUUGUAUUUUCUUUCAAAAACAUGUUGAUUAAUUUGUUGACACAUUUUACUCUUGUUGUUUUUUUUUUUUUUAAAUUACACCUAAAACUUUAAUUCUGUUGGAUAUUCCACCGCAAAAUUAAUCCCAUUUUUCUAGACAAAAUGAUCUGUUUUUGCAUGAUUUUAUGUCUAGUGUGUGAAUGCAACAUGGACAAAUGACAAAAUAAAGAGCCUUCAGAAAAAUGGACCUCACGUGUUGUGCUCUUCAGUCUCUGUGCUGUCCUGAGCUCUGUGGCCCUGAGAUGAAAAUAGGUGCAGCCGCCACACGCGGUCCCACAUGUGUCAUCACUGAUGACCCUCUUGGCGGUUAUAAAGAUGGAAGCAGAUCUGGAGAGGCUGACCCAGUGUGCACAUUCUUCAUAACCCCCCCAGGGGCCAGCCAUGUGCAGGACAUGUGCACCUCAGUGUGGCCCAGACCUCCAAGUAGCUUCUUUUACUGGAGUUCUUAUCUCACAAGCAUAUCUGAAAUUUAUCACUACAUGUUAGUGAAGCUUGAAAUAGUGCGUUGCAUAAAAACAGUCCCUUUCUUUAGCAAGUGUUAGUUUUUAAACUGAGAAUGUUGUCGUUUUCUUUUCUCUACAAGUCAGCAGAAUUCCUUGAGAGGAGAAGAAGACAAAUUCGGAGGCAGAACAUUAGGAGAGGAUGAGAAGAUGAGUGUGUGGGGGGGUUACAAGAGUGUGACAGCAGCAGCAACAUCAUCGCACAAGCGUGGGAAAUCUCCCGGUGUGGGUCCCUGGUGAGAAGAGGAGACUGUUCUUUCUUGUGACUUCGGGCUCCUCUGGGUUUUACAUCCUCUGGAUCGCGUUCAGGCCUGAAAGCACAGAAGAGAUGUCACACAUUCAGUGUCUUCCUCUUGUCUCCCUUUUUUUCUGCAUAGAAAUAGUUGAUGCAUGCAAAUAUUCUAUGAGAUGCAAAAAAUAAUAAAAAAAA